AGAAUUCCACUUCUCUAUCUGGUGGUAAACUUGGUAAUUCCUCUGGGAAUACAUCAGGAAAUUCACAUAUGACUGGUAUUGACUGAAUCUUUGACUCAGAUACUUUAGUAUCCAACACAUAUGCGAGAUAAGUGUCAUACCCUUUUCUAACAUAUUUCUGUGCUGAUAAUGCUGAAAUCACAUUAGGUACUCCAUCUAGUUUAUCAGAUUCAACACGAAGCAAUUCACCACUCUCACAUUUC
rnacentral:lncRNA from 1 species